AUGGCGCCUCGCGCCGACGGCCACUUCGUCGACGGUGGGCACAGCAUAGGGGAGCUCCUGGACGCGCACCAUCUCCACUACUCCCGGUACGACACCCUCGACUACGCGCCGGCGAUGGUCCCGGCGUGCCUCGGGAGCCGGGUGAGGAAGAUGGAGUUGCUGCAGUACCAGGGCGGCAGAGCGCAGAGGACGCUGGCCAGGUUCUUGCUCCGCAACGCGCCGGUUCUUGAGCAGCUCUACUGUGGACUCGCGGAGGGGCCGGAGUGGGUUCAGAGGGAAUUGAUGCGCGAGAUGGAAGGCUGGGUGGUGAAUGAGACAGCAAGCAAGGAGUUCCAUUGA
rnacentral:rRNA from 1 species